CUGUACUUGGUGUUACUGCGAAGGGGGGACGGAGAAGGCUAUGUUAGCCGGGCGACGGUUGUCCCGGUUUAAGCAUGUAGGCGGAGGUUCCAGGUAAAUCCGGUACCUUUUUAACGCUGAGGUGUGAUGACGAGGCACUACGGUGCUGAAGUAACAAAUGCCCUGCUUCCAGGAAAAGCCUCUAAGCAUCAGGUAACACGAAAUCGUACCCCAAACCGACACAGGUGGUCAGGUAGAGAAUACCAAGGCGCUUGAGAGAACUCGGGUGAAGGAACUAGGCAAAAUGGUGCCGUAACUUCGGGAGAAGG
rnacentral:rRNA from 1 species